AUUGAACGCUGGCGGCAGGCCUAACACAUGCAAGUCGAGCGGAUGAAGGGAGCUUGCUCCUGGAUUCAGCGGCGGACGGGUGAGUAAUGCCUAGGAAUCUGCCUAGUAGUGUGGGAUAACGUCCGGAAACGGGCGCUAUUACCGCAUACGUCCUUAGGGAGUAAGUGGGGGAUCUUCGGACCUCCCGCUAUCAGAUGAGCCUAGGUCGGAUUAGCUAGUUGGUGGGGUAAAGGCCUACCAAGGCGACGAUCCGUAACUGGUCUGAGAGGAUGAUCAGUCACACUGGAACUGAGACACGGUCCAGACUCCUACGGGAGGCAGCAGUGGGGAAUAUUGGACAAUGGGCGAAAGCCUGAUCCAGCCAUGCCGCGUGUGUGAAGAAGGUCUUCGGAUUGUAAAGCACUUUAAGUUGGGAGGAAGGGCAGUAAGUUAAUACCUUGCUGUUUUGACGGUACCAACAGAAUAAGCACCGGCUAACUUCGUG
rnacentral:rRNA from 1 species